CCUACGGGAGGCAGCAGUGAGGAAUAUUGGUCAAUGGACGAGAGUCUGAACCAGCCAAGUAGCGUGAAGGAUGACUGCCCUAUGGGUUGUAAACUUCUUUUAUAUGGGAAUAAAAUGUUCCACGUGUGGGAUUUUGUAUGUACCAUAUGAAUAAGGAUCGGCUAACUCCGUGCCAGCAGCCGCGGUAAUACGGAGGAUCCGAGCGUUAUCCGGAUUUAUUGGGUUUAAAGGGAGCGUAGGUGGAGUGUUAAGUCAGUUGUGAAAGUUUGCGGCUGAACCGUAAAAUUGCAGUUGAAACUGGCAGUCUUGAGUACAGUAGAGGUGGGCGGAAUUCGUGGUGUAGCGGUGAAAUGCUUAGAUAUCACGAAGAACUCCGAUGGCGAAGGCAGUUCACUGGACUGUAACUGACACUGAGGCUCGAAAGUGUGGGUAUCAAACAGGAUUAGAUACCCCGGUAGUC
rnacentral:rRNA from 1 species